UGAGUAACACGUAUCCAACCUGCCGUCUACUCUUGGCCAGCCUUCUGAAAGGAAGAUUAAUCCAGGAUGGCAUCAUGAGUUCACAUGUCCGCAUGAUUAAAGGUAUUUUCCGGUAGACGAUGGGGAUGCGUUCCAUUAGAUAGUAGGCGGGGUAACGGCCCACCUAGCCCGCGAUGGGUAGCCGGGUUGAGAGACCGACCGGCCACAUUGGGACUGAGAUACGGCCCAG
rnacentral:rRNA from 1 species